rnacentral:rRNA from 1 species
UACGUAGGUGGCAAGCGUUGUCCGGAUUUACUGGGCGUAAAGAGCGCGCAGGCGGUCGUUCAAGUCGCGUGUGAAAGCCCCGGCUCAACUGGGGAGGGUCACGCGAUACUGAUCGACUCGAAGGCAGGAGAGGGUAGUGGAAUUCCCGGUGUAGUGGUGAAAUGCGUAGAUAUCGGGAGGAACACCGGUGGCGAAGGCGGCGACCUGGGUAGAUACGUGACGCUGAGGUGCGAAAGCGUGGGAGCAAGCAGG